rnacentral:rRNA from 1 species
UACAGAGGGUGCAAGCGUUAAUCGGAAUUACUGGGCGUAAAGCGCGCGUAGGUGGUUUGUUAAGUUGGAUGUGAAAGCCCCGGGCUCAACCUGGGAACUGCAUCCAAAACUGGCAAGCUAGAGUACGGUAGAGGGUGGUGGAAUUUCCUGUGUAGCGGUGAAAUGCGUAGAUAUAGGAAGGAACACCAGUGGCGAAGGCAGUUAACUAUUCUAUUCCUGACAUUGAGGCAUGAAAGCGUGGGGAGCAAAACGG